CAGGAAAUAGUUUUAAAAAUAUUAAUUUUGGAGAUUAAAGUUAAAGAGGAAUCUUUUUUCCUGA
rnacentral:tRNA from 1 species